UACGGGGGGGGCAAGCGUUGUUCGGAAUUACUGGGCGUAAAGGGCUUGUAGGUGGCCAACUAAGUCGGACGUGAAAUCCCUCGGCUUAACCGGGGAACUGCGUCCGAUACUGGAUGGCUUGAGUGUGGGAGAGGGAUGCGGAAUUCCAGGUGUAGCGGUGAAAUGCGUAGAUAUCUGGAGGAACACCGGUGGCGAAGGCGGCAUCCUGGACCACGACUGACACUGAAAAGCGAAAGCCAGGGGAGCAAACGGG
rnacentral:rRNA from 1 species